rnacentral:rRNA from 1 species
UGGGGAAUAUUGCACAAUGGGCGCAAGCCUGAUGCAGCCAUGCUGCGUGUAUGAAGAAGGCCUUCGGGUUGUAAAGUACUUUCAGUCGGGAGGAAGGUGGUAAGGUUAAUAACCUUAUCAAUUGACGUUACCGACAGAAGAAGCACCGGCUAACUCCGUGCCAGCAGCCGCGGUAAUACGGAGGGUGCAAGCGUUAAUCGGAAUUACUGGGCGUAAAGCGCACGCAGGCGGUCUGUCAAGUCGGAUGUGAAAUCCCCGGGCUCAACCUGGGAACUGCAUUCGAAACUGGCAGGCUAGAGUCUUGUAGAGGGGGGUAGAAUUCCAGGUGUAGCGGUGAAAUGCGUAGAGAUCUGGAGGAAUACCGGUGGCGAAGGCGGCCCCCUGGACAAAGACUGACGCUCAGGUGCGAAAGCGUGGGGAGCAAACAGG